CAGUAGCCGCGGUAAUACGAAGGUCCCGAGCGUUGUUCGGAAUCACUGGGCGUAAAGGGAGCGUAGGCGGUAUGGUAAGUCAGAUGUGAAAUCCCGGGGCUCAACCCCGGAACUGCAUCCGAUACUGCCGUGCUAGAGGACUGGAGAGGCAACUGGAAUUCUCGGUGUAGCAGUGAAAUGCGUGGAGAUCGAGAGGAACACUCGUGGCGAAAGCGAGUUGCUGGACAGUAUCUGACGCUGAGGCUCGAAGGCCAGGGUAGCGAAAGGGAUUAGAUACCCGGGUAGUCCCUGUCUCUUAUAA
rnacentral:rRNA from 1 species